AUACUUACCUGGCAAGGGAGAUACCGUAUCAUGAAGUUGCUUUCUCAGUGUCAGGCCUGUCCAUUGUAGUCCAGAUGUGCUGACCUCUGUGAUUCUCACGUGUAGGAAACUCGAUGGUAGUAGGGAAC
rnacentral:snRNA from 1 species